UGGGGAAUCUUGCGCAAUGCGCGAAAGCGUGACGCAGCAACGCCGCGUGGGGGAAGACGGCCUUCGGGUUGUAAACCCCUUUCAGUUGGGACGAAUCUGCAGGGCUAAUACCCAUGCAGUCUGACGGUACCUGAGGAAUAAGCACCGGCUAACUCC
rnacentral:rRNA from 1 species